rnacentral:rRNA from 1 species
AGCGAACGCUGGCGGCAGGCUUAACACAUGCAAGUCGAGCGCACGUAGCAAUACGUGAGCGGCAGACGGGAGAGUAACACGUGGGAACGUACCUUUCGGUUCGGAAUAACUCGGGGAAACUUGAGCUAAUACCGGAUACGCCCGCAAGGGGAAAGAUUUAUCGCCGGAAGAUCGGCCCGCGUCCGAUUAGCUAGUUGGUGGGGUAAUGGCCCACCAAGGCGACGAUCGGUAGCUGGUCUGAGAGGAUGAUCAGCCUCACUGGGACUGAGACACGGCCCAGAAUCCUACGGGAGGCAGCAGUGGGGAAUAUUGGACAAUGGGCGCAAGCCUGAUCCAGCCAUGCCGCGUGGGUGAUGAAGGCCUUAGGGUUGUAAAGCCCUUUCGGCGGGGAAGAUAAUGACGGUACCCGCAGAAGAAGCCCCGGCUAACUUCGUGCCAGCAGCCGCCGUAAUAC